UCUUAUCCAGAGUGACUGAGGGACAGGCCCUAUGAAGUCCAGCAACCUGCAAAAAUGCAAGGUGCUAAUUCCUGCGGCAUGCCCGAAAGAUAAG
rnacentral:ncRNA from 1 species